AUAGUUACGUGACAGGGCAGAUAGCAUGACGGCAAAGGCAGUGUUCACCAGAGGAGGUUUUUCCAUUGCGCUCUGGAUGUGCUGACCCUGAGGUUUCCCCCGGAAUAGGAAACUCAACUUCAUAACUUGUGGUAAUGAGGGCUGUGCUCUCCCAUG
ensembl:snRNA LOC120093423 U1 spliceosomal RNA